GCGUUGUUCGGAAUCACUGGGCGUAAAGGGCGUGUAGGCGGUCCGCUAAGUCUGAUGUGAAAGCCCGGGGCUCACCCCCGGAAGUGCAUUGGAAACUGGCGGACUCGAGUCCCGGAGAGGAGAGUGGAAUUCCUGGUGUAGCGGUGAAAUGCGUAGAUAUCAGGAGGAACACCGAUGGCGAAGGCAGGUCUCUGGGCCACUACUGACGCUGAGGAGCGAAAGCGUGGGGAGCGAACAGG
rnacentral:rRNA from 1 species